UACGUAGGGGGCAAGCGUUAUCUGGAUUUACUGGGUGUAAAGGGAGCGUAGACGGCGAUGCAAGUCUGAAGUGAAAGGCGGGGGCCCAACCCCCGGACUGCUUUGGAAACUGUAUAGCUGGAGUGCAGGAGAGGUAAGUGGAAUUCCUAGUGUAGCGGUGAAAUGCGUAGAUAUUAGGAGGAACACCAGUGGCGAAGGCGGCUUACUGGACUGUAACUGACGUUGAGGCUCGAAAGCGUGGGGAGCAAACAGG
rnacentral:rRNA from 1 species